UGGGGAAUAUUGGGCAAUGGGCGCAAGCCUGACCCAGCAACGCCGCGUGAGGGAAGAAGGUUUUCGGAUUGUAAACCUCUGUCGCAGAAGACGAAGGAAGUGACGGUAAUCUGUGAGGAAGCCCCGGCUAACUACGUGCCAGCAGCCGCGGUAAUACGUAGGGGGCGAGCGUUGUCCGGAAUUACUGGGCGUAAAGGGAGCGUAGGCGGUUAAUUAAGUUAGAUGUGAAAUACCCGGGCUUAACUUGGGGGGUGCAUCUAAUACUGGUAAACUAGAGUACAGGAGAGGAAAGCGGAAUUCCUAGUGUAGCGGUGAAAUGCAUAGAUAUUAGGAGGAACAUCGGUGGCGAAGGCGGCUUUCUGGACUGACACUGACGCUGAGGCUCGAAAGCGUGGGGAGCAAACAGG
rnacentral:rRNA from 2 species